UUUUAAACUUUUAAAAUUUUAAUUUUAUUAUUUAAAUUUUAAAUUGUUUGAUUUAAAUCAAUCAACGAUACCUUGACUUUAAAAUUUAAAUAUGUUGUUUAUCUUUGCAGGUUUAGUUAGUUAGUAUAUUUCAUACAAUUCUUGCAGUUAUAACUUUAUUAAAGUAAAUAAUCAGCUUAAAUUUUAAAGUCAAGAUGUCGUUGGCAGACUCAAAUCAAACAAAUUAAAAAAUUUGAUAGUAAAAUCAAAGUUUUAAAAGUUUGGAUAAUAAAUUCAAAAUAGUCCGUAAUUCAGAUAAUUUCUAAAAGUUCUUAUCAAUUUUGUUUAUCAAAUUUGAGAUACCGUUUGAUUUAGGUAUUAGGGAGGGAAAAAUAAGCCA
rnacentral:lncRNA from 1 species